rnacentral:lncRNA from 1 species
AGUACAUCACAGCCAUCCAAAAUGAGGAUGGAUACAACUGGGGGUAAUUCUAAUUCAUGCUCUUUAAUUCUUGAUUCUAAAAUUUGAUUUGUUCUAAGAAUUAAAAAUUUACUCUUUUUUUUCAAUAAAAAGUUAUAAUCCUGUGUUAUGGGGAGUCCCUAAAGGAAGCUAUUCAACUAACCCUAAUGGUUCAUGUCGUAUAAUAGAGCCUCGCCUUAUUGUUCAUAUUAACUUUUGUUUUCAAUAAAAAAUUAAAUCAAACAUGGUUCUGUAACUUUUGUUCAUAUUAACUUUCUUUUUAACUAUGAUUACAACAUGGAUGCACUAUGUGGUCCUGAUGGUGAACUUCCAGAGAAGUUAAGGAAUUUAGAGCCUCGCCUUAUUGAGCACAUUAGUAAUGAGCCUCGUCUUAUUCAGAAGCCUUAUGCUACAAGUAUUUUACAAGAGCAAUGGCCAUUUAUGUAAUUUUAUCAGUGCCUAAAUCUUGUAUCAAAAUGCAGAUUGUACAAUUGACAGCAUCCGGAAAAUUUGAGGAAGCUUUGGCAUUGUUUAAGCUACUUGCACCAGAAGAUUCAAACCUUCGAGCCUCAAAGUAGCAGUCAAUUCAUAUCAGGUAAUAUUUAUGGACCUCAGAAGUUUUUUGGAUAUGAGUGGUAAAGUUUACUUAUCAAGAGCUUCAUCUGGUAUGUCAGAUGAUAUGGACACUUCUUCACCUUCUCAUACAGUGAAAAGGUUAUAUCAGAUGCUGUUGGACACACCCAUGAAAGC